GUACAAAGGCAUUAAACUUUAACUUAACAUGAUUUAACUAACCAUUUUGGGUUAGUGCUUUUAAAACUGGUGCUUUCUGGGGGAUUUAUAGCAUUAGUAGGCUUUAUUAUGGUCCAUUACAGCAUAUUUCAUGUUCUUAACAGAGAGGAGAUUAUUAAAAUAAGCACAGUGCACCAGUAACUUGGGUAGACUAAUUUGUGAGGCAGUAUCAUUACGGUAGCUAGUGCACUGUGGUGGAAUGCAGUCUGGAUUCCCAGGUGGGAGGGGCUAGGGUUAGGGGUUGCAUUCCAGAGAAGCAAGAGACAGCAAAGUUUAGAUAGUUUGGUUGGGAAGAAGAAGGUCAAGGCAGCUCCUCCCUAGAAGUUCUCAGAAUACUGUAUACGUUUAAUGAUGCAAGUAGUUUGCUUUACGGUGGCAUGAUUUCUGUCUGUACUAGGUA